rnacentral:rRNA from 1 species
AUGGAUGGAUCAAAGAGGUUCCGACGCCCGUGCGUCACUGGAUCAUCCGCGGGGGGGUCCUUUACAGCUUAUGCGGCCACCUUCUCCUCGUCUUCACGGCCGGGAGACGCCGGCAUGAGGCCUUCGCUCUGUCACCAUGGGUGGCUACUGUUGGCGGACAUUAUCGACAAAUUCGUCAUCACCCUAUUGUUUGUUAGCAACAAAACGUCGCGGGAGCGGCAACUCUCCGCGUUCUGGUUGCCCUUCCUCCUGAUUCACUUCAGUCGCCCGGACAACAUGAGCGGUUUUUCCAUUGAGGAGAAUGUGUUUUCGCCUGGGCAGAUGUUGAGUGCUAAUGCUGCUAUCUUGGGAGCCUCCAAUGCCCUGUACGUCCAUGUAAUUCGCUCCCGUCCCAGUGCCGGGACCUUGGUGCCAGCGUCCUUCCUCAUGUACGCAUUGGGUAUUUUCAAGUACUUGGAGAGGAUAAAUGCACAAGGGAGAGGCAACUUGAGAAUAAUCAAGAUCUUAAUGAAGAUGAAGAAUCAGCAAACGAGAUUCAGUUUCCAUCACACUGGUGUCCAUGGGCCCCUGGAUAAUGAUCAAGCCCUGCUUGUCGCUCACAGCAUGCUUCCUAUCACCAAAUGUGCCUUUUGUGACUGCUCGGUGGACAUGGAUCCUGACGACCGUGAAACCGGCAGAAAGAUAUUGUCUUGUGGAUGGGAGAGUAUGUACAAGGUGGUGGAGAUGGAGCUCUCCCUCAUGUACGACCUCAUAUACACCAAGGCAGCCGUCAUCCACGUCUGGCCUGGCUACAUCAUCCGCAUCGUCUCCCCGCUAAUCAUCUGCGCCGUGCUAUUUCUGUUAACUGCUUAUGAUAAAGGAUUCCAAAGAGUAGAAGAUAUUGUUCUCACUUACAUAUUGGUGGUCUCCACCUUACUACUCGAUGUAAGAUGGCUGCUGGGAGCACUAGGGUCGACCUGGGCAUAUACAUUCUUCAAAGACUCAAGAUGGCAGCGGCUAAAGCAUGCAGUUGUCUGUGAUGGAAAAUGGCACCGGCUCCGUACCAUUGUAGUGUCUAUGAGCUCCAGGUUCGACAUGAAGCACCCAAGUAGCUACAGGUUGUGGCGAGGAAUCAUGGGCCAGUACAACUUGUUGCAUGAAUGCACUCGUCACAACGACAAUCCAAUAAGUGUAAGUAGUAUGAUCGGCCUGUUGUACCUCCAACCACAGGAGAGCAUGAUGCAGCACGAAUACCAUGACAGACGUGGCUUUAGGAUUCCACAAGAUUUGAAGGGUCUGUUGUUCGAACGCAUAUGGGAAAAGUUGAAGUUAUCAUACACACCCGGCAAGGUUCAGGAGGAAGAAGUUGUGCAGUUUGAUCCUGAUGAGUUGCAAGAGCUCAUUCUUAUCUGGCACAUGGCAACGGACAUUUUCCUCCAAAAGGUCACCUUUGCAGAUGAAAAAUCUCAAAAAUAUGUGAAGUUGAUCAGCAAGCUGUCUAACUACCUGGUGUUCCUCGUGGUUGUAUGCCCCAACAUGCUACCGGUCCGUAAGCUGCCAAACAAGUAUGAAGAAACCAACAAAGCGUUGAAGGACUAUUUGAGUGACGAAAAGAAGCCUGCUAGUUGCAAAACAAGAGAGCAGAAGAUUGCCUUCAUCCUGGAACAGAUGGGGGACGGAAAUAGUACUAGUAGCAUUGUUCUAUCGGAUAGUAAUCAAUAUGCCGGUGUGCUACGAAGCUGUUUUGCCAAAAGGGGGUAUAUCGACCUAGUUGAGAAGAUGGGGAGAAAGUCCUACCAAAGAUUUCGGAAGUUGAUGCCGGGAUUGUGUUCUUACUCUGAGUUGGUCACUGAUGAAGAACUGUUGUUGAAUCUCAUCUUUGAUGCAUGGGUACUUUUGCUCAUGAAUGCGUCCAAAGGGUCUAGCAGGGAUUCCCAUGCCAAGCAGCUCGGCCAUGGCGGCGACCUCGUAACCAUAGUGUGGAUCAUGACAAUACAUGCCAACAUAUUUGGCAUCCAAGAGGAAAAUAACGGGGUCUGCUAA